rnacentral:misc_RNA from 1 species
AAGUCGUAACAAGGUCUCCGUAGGUGAACCUGCGGAGGGAUCAUUAAUAGAGAUGGUGGACCCCCGCGUCCCCGUCCCAACCCUUUGUUGACCAAACCACUUUUGCCUCGGGGGCAGAGCGGCCUCCGCCGCCCCCGGCGGACCAACCAACCCUGUCUCUGUACGUCGGAGUCUUUGAUAAAUAAAUAAAAA